rnacentral:rRNA from 1 species
AUUGAACGCUGGCGGCAUGCCUUACACAUGCAAGUCGAACGGCAGCACGGGUGCUUGCACCUGGUGGCGAGUGGCGAACGGGUGAGUAAUAUAUCGGAACGUACCUUAUUGUGGGGGAUAACGCAGCGAAAGCUGUGCUAAUACCGCAUAAUCCCUAAGGGGGAAGGCGGGGGACCGUAAGGCCUCGCGCAAUUAGAGCGGCCGAUACCUGAUUAGCUAGUUGGUGAGGUAAAGGCUCACCAAGGCAACGAUCAGUAGCUGGUCUGAGAGGACUAUGAGCCACACUGGGACUGAGACACGUCCCAGACUCCUACGGGAGGCAGGAGUGGAGAAUUUUGGAUAAUAGGGGCAACCCUGAUCCAGCUAUGCCGCGUGAGUGAAGAAGGCCUUCGGGUUGUAAAGCUCCUUUGUCAGGGAAGAAACAGCAGCUCUAAUACAGUAUGCGAAUGACGGUACCUGAAGAAUAAGCACCGGCUAACUACGUGCCAGCCGCCGCCGUAA